AACACAUAUGGGCAAACCUGUUGAAAAGCAGGGACGCAAAGCCAAGGGUCUUCAUCAGUUUCUGAUAUGACAGCCGGUUGCAAUC
rnacentral:ncRNA from 1 species